GGAGGGGUGGCAGAGCGGCCGAUUGCGCCGGUCUUGAAAACCGGUAGGCGGGCAACCGCCUCGUGGGUUCGAAUCCCACCCCCUCCG
rnacentral:tRNA from 1 species